GAUGAACGCUAGCGGCAGGCUUAAUACAUGCAAGUCGAGGGGCAGCAUGACUGUAGCAAUACAGUUGAUGGCGACCGGCAAACGGGUGCGGAACACGUACAGAACCUUCCUUCGAGCGGGGAAUAGCGCAGAGAAAUUUGGAUUAAUACCCCAUCGUACAACGGAGAGGCAUCACUUUGUUGUUAAAGAUUUAUAACUUGAAGAUGGCUGUGCGUCUGUUUAGGUAGUUGACGGGGUAACGGCCCACCAAGCCUGCGAUCAGUAACUGGUGUGAGAGCACGACCAGUCACACGGGCACUGAGACAGGGGCCCGACUCCUACGGGAGGCAGCAGUAAGGAAUAUUGGUCAAUGGACGAAAGUCUGACCCAGCCAUGCCGCGUGGAGGAUGAAGGUACUCUGGAUUGUAAACUUCUUUUAUAUGGGACGAAAAAAGGGUUUUCUAACUCGUCUGACGGUACCAUAUGAAUAAGCACCGGCUAACUCCGUGCCAGCCGCCGCAGUAAGAC
rnacentral:rRNA from 1 species